UACGUAGGUGGCGAGCGUUGUCCGGAUUUAUUGGGUUUAAAGGGUGCGUAGGCGGUCCUAUAAGUCAGUGGUGAAAUAUCGCAGCUCAACUGUGAGGGUGCCAUUGAUACUGUAGGACUUGAGUGAAUUUGAGGUAGGCGGAAUUGACGGUGUAGCGGUGAAAUGCUUAGAUAUCGUCAAGAACACCGAUAGUGAAGACAGCUUACCAAGCUUCAACUGACGCUGAGGCGCGAAAGUGUGGGGAUCAAACAGG
rnacentral:rRNA from 1 species